rnacentral:rRNA from 1 species
AGUAACACGUAUCCAACCUACCGGUUAUUCUGGGAUAGCCUUUCGAAAGAAAGAUUAAUACCGGAUAGUAUAACGAGAAGGCAUCUUUUUGUUAUUAAAGAAUUUCGAUAAUCGAUGGGGAUGCGUUCCAUUAGUUUGUUGGCGGGGUAACGGCCCACCAAGACAUCGAUGGAUAGGGGUUCUGAGAGGAAGGUCCCCCACAUUGGAACUGAGACACGGUCCAAACUCCUACGGGAGGCAGCAGUGAGGAAUAUUGGUCAAUGGACGAGAGUCUGAACCAGCCAAGUAGCGUGAAGGAUGACUGCCCUAUGGGUUGUAAACUUCUUUUAUAUGGGAAUAAAGUGAGCCACGUGUGGCUUUUUGUAUGUACCAUACGAAUAAGGAUCGGCUAACUCCGUGCCAGCAGCCGCGGUAAUACGGAGGAUCCGAGCGUUAUCCGGAUUUAUUGGGUUUAAAGGGAGCGUAGGCGGACUAUUAAGUCAGCUGUGAAAGUUUGCGGCUCAACCGUAAAAUUGCAGUUGAUACUGGUCGUCUUGAGUGCAGUAGAGGUAGGCGGAAUUCGUGGUGUAGCGGUGAAAUGCUUAGAUAUCACGAAGAACUCCGAUUGCGAAGGCAGCUUACUGGACUGUAACUGACGCUGAUGCUCGAAAGUGUGGGUAUCAAACAGGAUUAGAUACCCUGGUAGUCCACACAGUAAACGAUGAAUACUCGCUGUUUGCGAUAUACAGCAAGCGGCCAAGCGAAAGCAUUAAGUAUUCCACCUGGGGAGUACGCCGGCAACGGUGAAACUCAAAGGAAUUGACGGGGGCCCGCACAAGCGGAGGAACAUGUGGUUUAAUUCGAUGAUACGCGAGGAACCUUACCCGGGCUUAAAUUGCAUCUGAAUAAUUUGGAAACAGAUUAGCCGUAAGGCAGAUGUGAAGGUGCUGCAUGGUUGUCGUCAGCUCGUGCCGUGAGGUGUCGGCUUAAGUGCCAUAACGAGCGCAACCCUUAUCUUUAGUUACUAACAGGUCAUGCUGAGGACUCUAGAGAGACUGCCGUCGUAAGAUGUGAGGAAGGUGGGGAUGACGUCAAAUCAGCACGGCCCUUACGUCCGGGGCUACACACGUGUUACAAUGGGGGGUACAGAAGGCAGCUACACAGCGAUGUGAUGCUAAUCCCAAAAGCCUCUCUCAAGUCGGAUUGGAGUUUGCAACCUGACUCCAUGAAGCUGGA